rnacentral:lncRNA from 1 species
UAUAAAAUUUGCGAUAAUUGAAAUUUUAACUUUUACAACUUGUCUACUAUGUAUGAAUUUUGUGAAAUUCUAAAAAAACUAUAUAAUUUUUAAGAAUUUCAAUUAUAAUAUUUUAGUUAACAAUUGUCGCUCUCCCGAUAUUUUGUGUAAUACCUUCCCAUGCCCAUUGCAAAUUAUAUCCGUGAGAACAAAUUUUUUCGCCAUCCCUGUUUGUAACCACUGAUUCAUAGCCGAUAGGGCCAUGCUAAAGGAGUUUGCACCGCCUUGCUACGUAGCGAAGAUUGGAGUACGCUACUUAAAACUUUUUUGUUCCUACUUUUGGGUUUCAAGCCACAUAAAAGGUCUCUAACUGUCAAGAUCCUAGAACAAUUGUCAUUUACAUCACCCUGCGCCAAAUAUGUCAGAUUGUCUGAUUUUGUUUAAAAAAUUCAAGUUGGACCACAUUCUUUCUCAAAUAUUGUAGUCGAUUCGGCUGAAAUAUGAGUUAGUGAAAACAUUCGUUGAACCACUUCAAAGCCAUAGGAGGCAUCACCUUGAUAAUUGAUUAAAUGUUCCCACAAAGCUCACUCCAUUGUUAGGG